UUCCAUACCUGCAAGGUGCAAACAGAAUCGGUUGCAGAAAAUAUUGCUCCAAUUGCUACAAAUGAUGAAAAGGAUUAAAGAUGAUAAAACAAGAAGAAAGAGUUACAGUGUUCAUUGCAGAAGAAAAUGGAAAGGAGGGAAAAAGGUUAUGUAGAAGUACCAAGAUAAUCCCCUAUAUCGAGGGAACCUACAUCCAACUUUUUAAACAGUUGUCUGGCACCUGGAU